rnacentral:rRNA from 1 species
AUUGAACGCUGGCGGCAUGGCUAAACAUGCAAGUCGAGCGCGAAAGAGGGGCAACCCUCAAGUAGAGCGGCGAAAGGGUGAGUAAUACGUUUCUAUGUACCCCGAGGUCAGGGAUAGCCCACGGGAAACGUUAGGAUUAAUACCUGAUGUGGCCACCAUGUCACAGUGGUGAUCAAAGGCGCAAGUCGCCUCGGGAGCAGGGAACGUCCUAUCAGGUAGUUGGUGAGGUAACGGCUCACCAAGCCUUUGACGGGUAGCGGGUGUGAGAGCAUGGCCCGCCACAUCGGGACUGAGACACUGCCCGGACUCCUACGGGAGGGCUGCAGUAACGAAUCUUCCGCAAUGGGCGCAAGCCUGACGGAGCAAUGCCGCGUGCAGGAUGAAG